rnacentral:rRNA from 1 species
AAUCAACGCUGGCGGCGUGCCUCAGACAUGCAAGUCGAACGCUGCUGUUCGCCUUCGGGUGGACAGCGGAGUGGCGCACGGGUGAGUAACACGUAGGUAAUCUACCUUUGGGGUGGGAAGUAACAGCCGGAACGGACUGCUAAUACCGCAUAAUGCAGCGGCAUCACAUGAUGACAGUUGUUAAAGCGAGGGAUCGUAAGACCUCGCGCCUGAAGAGGAGCCUGCGGCAGAUUAGGUAGUUGGUGAGGUAAUGGCUCACCAAGCUGCGAUCUGUAACCGGCCUGAGGAGGGCGGUCGGUCACACUGACACUGACAUACGGGUC